rnacentral:rRNA from 1 species
UACGGAGGGUGCGAGCGUUGUCCGGAAUCACUGGGCGUAAAGGGCGCGUAGGCGGCUUUUUAAGGGUGCGGUGAAAGCCCGGGGCUUAACCCCGGGUCGGCCGUGCAGACUGAAAAGCUGGAGCACUGUAGAGGCAGGUGGAAUUCCGGGUGUAGCGGUGGAAUGCGUAGAGAUUCGGAAGAACACCAGUGGCGAAGGCGGCCUGCUGGGCAGUUGCUGACGCUGAGGCGCGACAGCGUGGGGAGCAAACAGG